rnacentral:misc_RNA from 1 species
CAUCGCCGCUCUCAUCACUCCAGCACGUUUCGACUGCGCGAAUCUUCAUCUUUCACCUUUACGCAAUACAGCACCCCACAGAAUCUGACACUAGUGAAUUUGCUUUUUUUCGUUUGCUUUGCUUUUCACCUAAACGACAGGGACGCUGACAUUUCCUCCUUCCCCACCUCGCCAACUCAUUUGCUGCGCACCUCUGUGUCACUGCAAGCCGUAGCGCUUCUUCCUGCGGAACCCUUCGGUCGAUCUGUCGUUAUUCAUCGCACUGCGCAGCUUGACGGCUUCGGCACUUCCCAGCUGCUUUCGUCCCUCGGCUGCCCAAGCCGCUGUGCGCCAUAACACACCCGUAUACAUUGUCAUACGCACUCCUUCUUCACCUUUACGCGGCCGCACCUUCUCGUCUAACCAACCACGGCAACUACUUUGCUUCUCUAUCUUCGGCCCUUAUUAUUAUUAUCAUCCGCGCAGCGCCUUCACCGCGUCUGUUUUUCGUCACCUCUUCUCCCUGUGUUUUCCCUCGCGCUUUCAAAUUCCCUAAAUCGUGUUUCUCUCUGACCCGCUCUCCGAUACACUCCCGUCCACCCUCCCUGAUUCUCUUUUUUCUUGUGUUUGCAUCUCUUUGCCCGCUCUCCUACUACGCCGUUUCCCUCCCUCGCAGCCACUCGCCGCAGUCCCUCUGCGUGCCUCUCUCUCUCUAUCUCGGCAGUCUUGCUACCCCUUCUUUCCUUCUGACGUCACUAGACGCGCACUCGCAUCCUCGAAGGAGAUCCGCUUGGCAAAUGGGGCUCUUGACGACUGGCGGCGCCCCGAUACAGUGGGGCACCGAUGCAAAUAGAAAGGCCAUUCCGCACGUCAGAGAGCACGGCAUUCAGCAGUUCCUCAACGUUUUCAAGAACAAAAAGGACCUCCAUGGUAUGCCGUUUCUCUGGGGAGAGGAGCUGGAGCACCAGCUAAUCCAGAUCCACGAUAACACGGUUACCCUCAGCACGGAAAGUGCGAUGGUAAUGAACAAGCUGAGGGCGCGUCCUGACAACUGCGCCGUGUGGAACCCCGAAUAUGGAAGCUUCAUGAUCGAAAGCACGCCAGACCACCCGUACAGUCUGUCGGUGGAGAGCCUCGACUCGGUGCAGGACAACAUCGAGCGGCGGUACGACAUGCUCAACAAGGAGGCACCACCUGGCGUGGUCGGCACCACCUUUGUGACUUUCCCACUCAUGGGCCAGGGCAACUUUGUCCACUGCAGUGAUAAGAGUUCUCCGUACUCGCAGUCGCUUUUUGUUCCUGAUGCGUGCAUCAACCAAACGCAUCCGCGCUUCGCGAACCUGACGGCAAACAUUCGCCUGCGUCGCGGUCAAAAGGUUUGCGUCCUGGUGCCUCUGUACAUGGACUCCCGUACAAUGCAGGACACGGUGGACCCCCAACUAAACAUUGACCUGACUCCACACAACAAGGACAUUUUUUACUCCAUGAGAGAAAACGGCAGGAACAUGACCGACGAACUCUACGCGGAGACGGACGCGUCUGCCGCUCUGCUAGUGCCCAGCAGCUCUCUCGAUCCACGCGAGGACUACCCUGUCACCGAGACGCUGAAGCAGCUCUUCACCCCUGCUACGCUCUACUACUACGCACAGUACUUCACGGGACAGCGCCGCGAGCAUAUGCAGGAACGCUACAACGCGUGUAACUGCCCCGUAACCUUGGUCAGCCACCCGUGCAUCUACAUGGACUGCAUGGCCUUUGGCAUGGGUAACAGCGCUCUGCAAGUGACGAUGCAGCUGGACAACAUUCACGAGGCGCGCCACGUGUACGACCAGCUCGCCAUCUUGUGCCCGGCAUUUCUGGCUCUCAGCUCAGCCACGCCGUUCCAAAAGGGUCUUCUUUGCGACACCGAUGUGCGCUGGCUGACUAUCGCCGGCGCUGUCGACGACCGCCGCGUGGAGGAGGUGCCGCGUAUUCUCAAGUCUCGCUACGACUCCAUCUCCGUCUUCAUCAGCGACAGAACCGAAAACCUCGAGGAAUUCAACGAUUCACAAAUAGCGAUAAACCGCUCGUACUGUGAACUUCUGAAGGACUCCGGUGUGGACGUGCGGUUGGCGAACCACAUUGCACAUUUGUUCAUUCGAGAUCCGCUUGUGAUGUACGACAAGAUGAUCGACAUCGAUGACACGACGCACACGGAGCACUUUGACAACAUCCAGUCCACUAACUGGCAGACAGUGCGCUUCAAGCCUCCGCCGAUAGGAAACGACAUUGGCUGGCGCGUUGAGUUCCGCGUGAUGGAUAUUCAGCCAACACCGUUCGAAAACGCCGCCUUCGCCGUCUUCAUUCCGCUUCUCACCAAGGCCAUCAUCACCUACAAGCCCUGCUUUUACACCAAGAUCUCCAUCGUCGACGAGAAUAUGGGCCGCGCACAUCGCAUCAACCCGUGUGGAGAACAAUACAUUAUGCGCAAGGACAUUUUCGCCGACAAGUGCACCGCCAGCGACGAGGAGACGGCGAGGAUGAGCAUUGACGAGAUCUUCAACGGCAAGGAGGGCGGCUUCUAUGGACUCAUCCCCCUCGUGUGCCGCUAUCUAGACGACGAGGGGAAGCGAAGUCCCCUCGUAAACUCCUACCUGAAGUUCCUGUCAAUGCGCGCCUCUGGCCGCAUUCCCACACCUGCGCAGUACAUGCGCAAGUUUGUCACGACACACCCCGACUACAAGCACGACUCACGCCUCACCGACAGCAUCGCGCGUGACCUUGUGCAGCGCAUGCACGGCCUGGCUGCGAAUCAGAUCCACGACGAUGACUACCUUCCCAUGAGCUUUUUCACGGCCGAUACAGUAGAGAGCACCAAGUGAAGUCUUUCUUCUCAUUCCCACGGACUGCAGAACGAAAGCGCCCAAGGCGUAUGCUGCGUUCAGUCCCGCGCAUGUGCGCUAAAGUCGACCCCGCUUUAAGCUAUUUACUGAAGAACCACCCCUCCCCCAAAACAAAAAAUAAAGAAAGCAUUCC